ACAGGGGGAUAGCCCAGAGAAAUUUGGAUUAAUACCUCAUAGUAUUAUGAUGUGGCAUCACAUUAUAAUUAAAGUCACAACGGUAAAAGAUGGGCAUGCGUCCCAUUAGCUAGAUGGUAAGGUAACGGCUUACCAUGGCUACGAUGGGUAGGGGUCCUGAGAGGGAGAUCCCCCACACUGGUACUGAGACACGGACCAGACUCCUACGGGAGGCAGCAGUGAGGAAUAUUGGUCAAUGGACGCAAGUCUGAACCAGCCAUGCCGCGUGCAGGAUGACGGUCCUAUGGAUUGUAAACUGCUUUUGUACGAGAAGAAACAACAUUACGUGUAAUGUCUUGACGGUAUCGUAAGAAUAAGGAUCGGCUAACUCCGUGCCAGCAGCCGCGGUAAUACGGAGGAUCCAAGCGUUAUCCGGAAUCAUUGGGUUUAAAGGGUCUGUAGGCGGUUUGGUAAGUCAGUGGUGAAAGCCCAUCGCUCAACGGUGGAACGGCCAUUGAUACUGCCAGACUUGAAUUACUGGGAAGUAACUAGAAUAUGUAGUGUAGCGGUGAAAUGCUUAGAGAUUACAUGGAAUACCAAUUGCGAAGGCAGGUUACUACCAGUGGAUUGACGCUGAUGGACGAAAGCGUGGGGAGCGAACAGGAUUAGAUACCCUGGUAGUCCACGCCGUAAACGAUGGAUACUAGCUGUUGGUGGCAACAUCAGUGGCUAAGCGAAAGUGAUAAGUAUCCCACCUGGGGAGUACGGGCGCAAGCCUGAAACUCAAAGGAAUUGACGGGGGCCCGCACAAGCGGUGGAGUAUGUGGUUUAAUUCGAUGAUACGCGAGGAACCUUACCAAGGCUUAAAUGUAGUUUGACCGAUUUGGAAACAGAUCUUUCGCAAGACAGAUUACAAGGUGCUGCAUGGUUGUCGUCAGCUCGUGCCGUGAGGUGUCAGGUUAAGUCCUAUAACGAGCGCAACCCCUGUUGUUAGUUGCCAGCGAGUAAUGUCGGGAACUCUAGCAAGACUGCCGGUGCAAACCGUGAGGAAGGUGGGGAUGACGUCAAAUCAUCACGGCCCUUACGCCUUGGGCUACACACGUGCUACAAUGGCCGGUACAGAGAGCAGCCACUUCGUGAGGAGGAGCGAAUCUAUAAAACCGGUCACAGUUCGGAUCGGAGUCUGCAACUCGACUCCGUGAAGCUGGAAUCGC
rnacentral:rRNA from 1 species